rnacentral:misc_RNA from 1 species
CACGCGGGGAUCCGCGGCCCCAGUCACCGCCAGAGGCCUUGUUGCUGGUGGCGGCCUUGGCGGGCCUGGGCUUGGGCCUGAGCCUCAUUUUCAUCGCUGUCUACCUCAUCCGCUUCUGCUGCUGCCGGCCCCCCGAGCCCCCCGGGUCCAAGAUCCCCUCGCCCGGGGGAGGCUGCGUCACCUGGAGCUGCAUUGUCGCCCUUCUCGCCGGCUGGUAAUGGGGCCCCAGGGUGGGUGGGCGGUGGGGACAGGGCUCCCCAAGCUCUUUGCUGGCCUUCCUGGGGGUGUCCUCCGGGGACAUGGAGGAAGCAGACAGGAAGGAGGAAACUCCCUCGUCCCUGUCCCUGCCAUUUGCAAGCCCACUUCAGCGCACAGCAGGAAGGACUGUCCCAUUUGAUGGAUGGAGAAAGUGAGGCUCUGGAGAGGAAGUGAAUCAAGGGCAGCCAUCUGGUGAGAAGGCGCAGGGGCAGUCAGAUGGCCUGGUUUUGGUGGCUCUCCCAUUGAAUAGCUGUGUGACCUAAGGGAGUGAUAGUCUCCCUGGGCCUCAAUUUCCACAUCUGUAAACUGGGCAUUAUCAUCU